CAGGUUUAUCCUAGAACUGUGGGAUUUCUGUAAUUUAAAUCUGAUUCAUUUCACUUAGAACCGCGGGGACAUGGCGCGCCGACGAGCACCGACUUUCUUCUUUUUUUUUAAGCGGACGUACCAACAGUAAGAUUCGCGUUUCAGAAAAAUGGAGGACAUUCAGUGAACAAUAUAUUUCCACUUUGGAUUGUGCUCUGGUUAAAAACACUGAUCUCACUUCUUAGUUUUGCACUGCGUGUGAGGUAGCGCUGGCUCUGUAAUGUUGAGGCGAGGCCGGGUGGGUGUGGCCGGGCAGAGAGACUGGAAACAGCAGGAAGAUCCGACCUACACCCCCACACACAUAUGCACAAAAGCACACACACACACACACACAUUGAUAGACAGACAGACAAAAGGGUGAGACAAUCAAUAUCAUUUACAUGUGAUCAAUACCAAUCAAUCCCUGAGUGUGGGAAAAUGUGUGUGAAUGGCUGUAAAUAUGGAUACUAUUUACUUGUGUUUUCUAUUGCUGCUUCUGUUUUUCUGUUUGUAUAUUUUCCUUUCUGUACAUCAGGGAGUUUGGAGCUCUGUUUAGUGUGAUGAUGAUAGUGUUGAUGAUACUGACCGUCCAGAGAAGAAGAUUUCUCUGGACGGUCAAUGUAGUGGGCCGAACAUGAGUACAAAGUGAGUAAUACUAGUGAGUACUUAUAGCUACAGUAAGGCUUUAAUAAGGAUUACUAACGGCAGGAUGCAUUAAUUGCUUCACUUCCCCACAAAAUACAGUGGGAAAUAUCUAAACCUUCUUUCUGGUCAUAAUCCAUCCAUCCAUCCAUCCACCGUCCACCGCUUAUCCUGCAUACAGGGUUGCGGGGGCUGGAGCCAAUCCCAGCAGACAUCGGGCGCAAGGCGGGGUACACCCUGGACAGGUCGCCAGUACUGGUCAUAAUAGAUGUUGAAAAGAAGGUCAUCCAUCCAUCCAUCCAUCCAUCCAUCCAUCCAUCGUCAACCGCUUAUCCUGCAUACAGGGUCGCGGGGGGGCUGGAGCCAAUCCCAGCAGACAUCGGGCGAAAGGCGGGGUACACCUUGGACAGGUCGCCAGUACUGGUCAUAAUAGAUGUUGAAAAGAAGGUCAUCCAUCCAUCCAUCCAUCCAUCCAUCGUCAACCGCUUAUCCUGCAUACAGGGUCGCGGGGGGGCUGGAGCCAAUCCCAGCAGACAUCGGGUGCAAGGCGGGGUACACCUUGGACAGGUCGCCAGUACUGGUCAUAAUAGAUGUUGAAAAGAAGGUCAAUUGGAAAUAAAUUAUAUGACACAUAUCAAACUUAGAGCGUUAAUUUUUUAACCAGCAUGGCUCUAAGGAUGCCAGUGUUGGUGGGUCCACCACUUUGUGCGAAAUAUCUCAACA